CUCUCCCUUAACAAAAGUAUAUUUUUUCAUUUUUUACCRARGUUUAUUUCAAGCAUAUUUCUUUAUGCAUAAUAUUAUUGGAUUCAUUGMCUCAAAGAUUCUGGGAAACACGGCCAUUUUCUUAUUGUYGUGCGGGAUCCCUGUGGUAUAGAAUUCAGCUGUGUAGUGUCCAUCUUGUUCAGUCGACAACAGUAGUGGACAAAAAUUUUGAAGACAACCAAAUGGCAGCUCAAGGCGACAAGCAACCAGAAAGGCCAAAGUCCCCACCACCAGGUUAUCAAAAAGUUAAGGGUGAAGCUUGGGAGGGAUGCCGUAAAGUAACAAAUCGCAGACCUGUAAACAAGCAUACUGGUGUGUAUGCUUAUCACUGUGAUGACUGCAUGUGUGGAAUGGCUGGCUGGCCAUGCUAUAGAGAUGGCCGUAUAUGGAGCUGUUGUGGACAGACUGAGAAGUAUUGCAUGUGUACAAAGAAAAAAUGAUGAAAGCCUUGGAUUUUAUCAUGGAACAGUUUAUCAAUUUAAAAAUUGAUGGCUGAAUAGUUCCUGAAAAUAAUAUUAAGUAAUCAUAAUAACACUUAAGUCUUCACCAUGCUGUGGCCCAGCUGUGCCAGAGGGAAAUUGGCAGGGUGAGGGCAGAGCUCCUCUGGGGUGAGGGGAGGGGUUCAAUCAACAAGGACACAUUAUGUAAAUAAAACAAAAUGGAUAACAAUAAUGUAUCUGCUUGAGCUAUAGUGUUCUAUGUUUGAGUUUCUAGAACAACUUUGCCUCAGAAGACACUCCACGUUUAAAAUAAUAAUUUAAUUAUACUAAUUCUGUAACAURAAGUUAUUAGAAUAUAAUCAAAGAAUUUUUUAUUCACAGUUGAUAAUUACUUAUCACACAAAAUUAAUGAUCUUGCAGAGCAUUCAGGCUAAAUACAAUAAUAUUAUAUAUAAAGCUCAAAGGAAAACAAAAAAAUUACUGAAUGCAUAAAGCUGUACUAGUCUAUUAUAAUACUGUUUACUAAGUCACUUUUAUAUUGUAAUUGUAAUAUUUUUCCCCCCUGUCUAACUAGCGCUAUUUUUUAAUAAAAUUGAUACUAGAUUA